GGAAGCUGGAAUGAAUGGUCGAAUAAGGAAAUGACUGUCUCUUUUUAAUUUAAUUGAAUUUUAUUUUUAAGUUAAAAAGCUUAAAUUUAAUAGAAAGACGAGAAGACCCUAUAGAGUUUAAUAAAUUUAUAUUUUUAUAGUUUAGGAUUUUAUUAUAUAAAAAUAUAUAUUUAUUUUGUUGGGGUGAUACUAGAAUUUAAUAAACUUCUUUUUUUUAAAUCAUUGAUUUAUGAAUAAAUGAUCCUAAUUUUUAGAUUAAAAGAAUAAAUUACCUUAGGGAUAACAGCGUAAUUUUUUUGGAGAGUUCAUAUCGAUAAAAGAGAUUGCGACCUCGAUGUUGGAUUAAAGUUAAAUCUUGGUGUAGAAGCUAAGAUUUUAAGUCUGUUCGAC
rnacentral:rRNA from 1 species